AUCCUAUGUUGAGGACAUUUUUGCUGUAGUUCCUUGAACCUUUCCCAUAUCUCAAAUAGAGACUCCAAUUUCAUUUGCACGAAGGAAGAAAUCUCAUUCCUAAGCUU